GCGGCCGCUCUGCUGGGCUCCGGGCGCUGCAGCUCCCGGCGGGCGUGUGCAGCCCGCAGAUUCAGGACGACCCGGCUGCCCGGCUUAGCGCCUUUGGAGCUCCGCGCUGAAGGGGCCUUGCUCCGCACAGAGGCUUCGUGACGGAGUUAUCAGAGACAUUGAGAGGCAAAUUCGGAAAAAAGAAAACAUUCGUCUUUUGGGAGAACAGAUUAUUUUGACUGAGCAACUUGAAGCAGAAAGAGAGAAGAUGUUAUUGGCAAAAGGAUCUCAAAAAUCAUGACUUGAAUGUGAAAUAUCUGUUGGACAGACAACACGAGUUUGUGUGUGUGUGUUGAUGGAGAGUAGCUUAGUAGUAUCUUCAUCUUUUUUUUUGGUCACUG
rnacentral:lncRNA from 1 species